rnacentral:snoRNA from 1 species
GGCCGAUGACGAGGCGUGGUUCCGAGCCGGACUCGGCACCCGGUGCUGACGAGCCCUAUGAGUACCGAGGCC